rnacentral:rRNA from 1 species
UACGUAGGGGGCAAGCGUUGUCCGGAUUUAUUGGGCGUAAAGAGCGUGUAGGCGGCUUUACAGGUCCAUUGUGAAAACUCGAGGCUCAACCUCGAGACGCCGGUGGAAACCGUAAAGCUAGAGUCCGGAAGAGGAGAGUGGAAUUCCUGGUGUAGCGGUGAAAUGCGCAGAUAUCAGGAGGAACACCCGUGGCGAAAGCGGCUCUCUGGGACGGUACUGACGCUGAGAGACGAAAGCUAGGGGAGCAAAUGGG